rnacentral:ncRNA from 1 species
UUUUGUGUCUGCUACGUUGACGACGUUCGCGAGUGACCUGGAAGUCGGUGAGAGUCCGACACGGUCGCGCCACUGUAAGGGAACGGUUCGCCGCUCUCGAGUCAGAUACAGCUCACCCGCCAACUCCGCAU